rnacentral:lncRNA from 1 species
UGUUAUUGAACCUGCUGUAAAUCAAUUAAAAAAUACAAAUUAUAGUUGAAGACAUAUUUUUAAGAGUUGAGCAUUCAUUCGAUUUAUGAUAUCUUAAGAGGUUAGUUUUACAUGGGGAGAUAUUAAUCUAAUUUUGGGUGUAUUUUAUGAAGACUUCUGAGAUGCUCAUUUUAUUUCAUUCAUUCAUGUUAAAAAUAUAAUAAUAAACAUUAAGACCCUGUUGUUGCUGUUAGCCAUUUAAACAAUCUCAUAUGAUUUUUGUGCACUUAUCUAUUUAGAGCUUUUUUUAAAAAUAAAAAGAUGUUUAUGGCUUCUCUUUGUAGCAUGACAGGUACUUUUUAUUAAUCCAGCACUAUGAAAAUAAUCAUAAGAAACCCUACUUUACACUUACCUCCACCUUCCCCCACCCUCAUUAUUGUUGUUGUUGUUGUUUUUUUAAUCAUAAAACAAUUCUAGGCAGCAAGAGUAGUAUGUUGGUUGGGCUAAGGCUGGGCUGUUAGCUAAAUUAAGCCAUUGUGACUCAAAAUCCUCCUUUAAUAAGGUUCAUGCUGUCUACAACUUCAUCAUUUUCUGCUGAAUGAUAAUUACUUUAUUCAAUCAUGUUCAAGGUUUUAGUGAAAGCUAGCAUUGAUUGAUUAACUUCAAUUACCAUGCUUACAUUUGCAUAGAUAAAAACUGCUUUUCAAUUUGUGAGUGGCACGCCAGUGGAAACCCUGCGCUGAUAUUUGCAUUUCAAUGUGAACAGUGAAGAAUAAAGGUGGAAGAGAGGUCUGAUCAGUGCUAAGCCCUUUCUGCUUCAGUGCUUAAGCAUUUUUCCAUAAACACUCUUGUUAUGAUGUUAGUUUGUUCAAACCACUCUGAGGUAACUGAUGGAGGCUCCUGUUUACAAGCUUUCCUGACAAUUGAACAGUAUGGAUUAGGGGGAAGGGACUCCCAUAGUAGCUUGCCGGCCGGCCACCAAGUUAAAGAAGAAUGAAACCCCUUCCUGUGGCUGUAACAGAAACUCCCCAAAGCCAGCAGUGCUUUGAAGAUCGACUGUGUCUGCAACCCCUUGGCUCUAACCUGGUCUGCUUUACAAUAGCUGAUGCUUUUCCCCUUGUGCAUGCUGCGGGUUUAGAACCAAAUGCUGAGCUUUCAUCAGUACAUUCUGUUAAAUGCAGGGAGGGGCCAAAGUGAAAUGAAUAAGUCCUUUUCAUUCUUACCAAAGAGGCCGACAACAAACAUUUAGUUAUACUAGAUUCACUGGAUGUUAUUAUCAUCAUGUAUAGUUUGCCUGACCUGAUUUUUGGCAUGUGUAUAAGACAAGGACUGCCCUGUAUUCCUUACCCCUUGGUGGUUCAGAGAUUCAGAGGUCUGGGGUAGUUUUCUUUGCCUUUUCUGCAUAUCACAAUUUAGUCAGGACCAUAGUAUUCUUACCCAAUCAUGGAAGUUCAGCCUUUAUAAAAUCACAAAAGCUCAUAACCAGAGAGCUAUUUCUUAAAUCAAUUUGAGUCUCUCUCUUUUUCUUCUACAAGGUCGACAACUAAAUGGAACAUUUUUUCAAUAUAAGCUCAAUAACUUCUUUCUCAUGGGUUAAUAUUUUGAUUCUAGACAAUUCUGACACAUAGGGGCACUCAAUAAAUCAUUUUGGUUGUGGUAUCUUUGAAUGCUGAAACUCUUAGAAACUCCAGGAUGUUUCUACUUGUGGACUAGGUAAAUUUCCCUAAAAAAUAGUGUCCGUCUUUAGAUCUUUAGGCCAAAGAAGUAAUGUCACUGAAAACACACCAUCAGAAAUAACUGCAGAGUUGACAUGGACAUCCAGACUUCCAUUAAGUAAACUUAAAAAUGCAUAGGAAGGAGUUCCAUUGUGGUGUAGCAGGUUAAGAAUCUGGCAUUGUCACUGUAGCUCUGGUCACUGCUGUGGUGUGGGUUCGACCCCUGACCCAGGAACUUCCAAAUGCCAUGGGUGCAG